GAUGAACGCUGGCGGCGUGCCUAAUACAUGCAAGUCGAGCGAACAGACGAGGAGCUUGCUCCUCUGACGUUAGCGGCGGACGGGUGAGUAACACGUGGAUAACCUACCUAUAAGACUGGGAUAACUUCGGGAAACCGGAGCUAAUACCGGAUAAUAUAUUGAACCGCAUGGUUCAAUAGUGAAAGACGGUUUUGCUGUCACUUAUAGAUGGAUCCGCGCCGCAUGAGCUAGUUGGUAAGGUAACGGCUUACCAAGGCAACGAUGCGUAGCCGACCUGAGAGGGUGAUCGGCCACACUGGAACUGAGACACGGUCCAGACUCCUAAGGGAGGCAGCAGUAGGGAAUCUUCCGCAAUGGGCGAAAGCCUGACGGAGCAACGCCGCGUGAGUGAUGAAGGUCUUCGGAUCGUAAAACUCUGUUAUUAGGGAAGAACAAAUGUGUAAGUAACUAUGCACGUCUUGACGGUACCUAAUCAGAAAGCCACGGCUAACUACGUG
rnacentral:rRNA from 1 species